rnacentral:lncRNA from 1 species
UUAACUUAUAUAAUGCUGGACACGGCUAAUUCUGCCUUUGUGACCAGUGUAGAUCACGAUCAGCCUGCACACCAGUGCAGUUUGAUCAAGAUCUGCACUGUUCGCAGUUCAGUCAGCGUUCCCUUGUAACAGUGAAUAGUACCGUCUAAAUUGAAAUUGGGACAAGUUUAUUAUAGCAAUUUAGCAUAGUAAGGGUAAAACUGUAUAUUUCAACAUUUUGAGAGGCUUAAAAUUGAGUUGACCUCCUUUUGAAUAUUGUUACUCUUUUUAUGAAAAAAUAAGUUCACGGAGUACAUAGGGACGGGAGAGUAGAGGUCGAGGGUAGGCAGAGAAGAAACAGUCAGUUACAUCGAGUUACCUGAAACAAUGCCUACAGAAUGUUUGCUUUGCAUUUCAUGCAUUCACAUUUACAAACAGAAACUGACUUUUUUUCGGUCAGCUAUGUUUUGAUGUAUUUUGUGAAUACGUGUUUCAUUCUGUAAACUGUUCUCCUUGAAUAUGGAAAUUAUUUUUAAUAAUUCAUGAUACACAGUGAGUAAAUAAAUCAUAAAAACGGCAACAUUACUAUUUUACUAUUUACUAAAGAUAUAACAUCUCCAAGCGUUUGACGCCGUAAUUAAUUCCAGAAUCCCUUAAAAUGUAAUAUUUACAGCUGUCUCAUCAACAUUUAGAUUGUAGAAAACAUAAUUAAACGAUAUUGGUUCAACGCCAAUAAAACACAGCUUGAUCCGUUAUAUUAUACCACUCCCAUUCUUUAUAAGUUAAAUGAAGUAUUUGCCGUUUAAACUGUUAAAAGUUAGCUUAUGAAUUAAAAAUAGUCAAUGCUCAAAUCACAUGAUUUCAAGAUGAAAUCUAUAAAUUCUGCUUAAUUUUGUUUGGUUGAUAAACAUAAUAACGUUGGUGCGUCUGUGGCGCAUUGUAACGCAACAAUGUCUUGUGGCGUUUCUGAGGUCAUUUAUUCAUUAUUUCGGCGGUAUCAAUUAAGAGAAUCCACAAAAAUAAAUAAACAAACUCAUUUUGGUUAUCGUAAGUUCUUACGUUUGCUUCUGGUUGGACAUGCGCACAUUCAUACUUUACGACUUACUAGACUGUGUGUGUGUAUGUGUUUGUUUAAUUUUUUUUUUUGUCUUUCUUUUUGACAAAAUGUAUCAAUUUAUUGCAUUUGAACAGUGAGUAAAUGAUUUUAAGUUCAUGAUAAAAUGUGAUGAUUUCAGGAUUGUCGGUUCAUAAAGACGCCUGAUGUCGGGACGGUGAAGGCACGUCUACAAGAUAAUGUGGUGUAAACAGAUGGUAAACGUAAUUUCCGGACACAGAUGCGACUUGCAAGGGUCAAAAUCUUUAUAUUAUGAUCUCUAUGUGCAUGCGAAUAUCUUCAGCCGACUUGUAAAAUGUCCAAACAGCUCCAACUGCUACCUAAGAUGAUAACACGGACGAUAAAGGAAUGAAGGGUAUGUCUGCUUCACUACGAUUGACAAAACUUGCACAUCUACUUUCAAGCUGGUGAAAGCACGACUUCAAGAUGUAAACUAAAAAAGAAGAUGGUAAUUUCCGGCCACAAGUGUCAAAAUCUUAAAAUUAGGGUCGAAGAGAAAUAUACGUCUCCUUGCGGUAAACAGAAUACAGCACGGCAUUUUGCUUCAUAUACGUGUUAUUCAAAAGACAACAACAGUUUAAAGCCAAAGGAACCCAAUCUAACAAAUUGUGUCAGUCUUUGGACAUUGGAAAUUCUCCCCUUUGCUGAUGAAAUACCAUCUAUCAUUUAAUGGAUAUUUAACUAGAACAGAACGGAACAGAACAGAACAGAACGGACCAGAACAGAACUCUCAGUCAGCAUUUACAUCUCUGUAAACGGCAUCGAUAUUGCCAUUUAAUUUAUCAUAUAUUUAUCGAUUUAUAACUGGUAUUCUGCGGACUCCGUAAUUGAUACAUUGCCAUUUUCUUGACAAAAUAUUGAUAAAUCAGUUGAUAGACCGAUACCGAAGUUGGAUUUUGCUGUUAUCCGAAUUCAGAAAGCAGCAUAAUACAAUAAGUACAAUGAUUAUCAAGAUUUAUAAAAAAUGUUUCACCUAGAGUUAUUUUGACAUAGGAAAUUCUACACGUCUGACAAACCGGAAGUAAAGGCAUGACGUCAUUUAACCGGAAAUAUAACACAAAACCUGGACUCGGCAUAUGGAUUCUCCUUUUCGUUUGCCUAAUUUUCUUAAAAUAUCUAUGGGUUUGAAAACUUAAGAUUUUCUCAAUUCGAGCAAACAACAACAACAACUACAAAACCACCAUAAUGUAAAUUCUGUAUGUUUUGUGCAAAUUUGUCAAGAGGA